rnacentral:misc_RNA from 1 species
GAUGAAGAACGUAGCGAAAUGCGAUAAGUAAUGUGAAUUGCAGAAUUCAGUGAAUCAUCGAAUCUUUGAACGCACAUUGCGCCCGCCAGCACUCUGGCGGGCAUGCCUGUUCGAGCGUCAUUUCAACCAUCAAGCCCCCAGGGGCUUGUGCUGGGGCCCUGCGGCUGCCCGCAGGCCAUGAAAACCAGUGGCGGGCUCGCUAGUCACACCGAGCGCAGUAGCACAUCUCGCUCAGGGCGUGCGGCGGGCUCCUGCCGUGAAACCCCCCACUGUAACCCCAAAGGUUGACCUCGGAUCAGGUAGGAAUACCCGCUGAACUUAAGCAUAUCAAAAGCGGAGGA